AUUCUGUCUCCGUACCUCCACCUACAAAGUUAAAAAAAAAAAAAAAUAACAAACGUAAUGUCAGCCAAGGAGAAUCAGAAACUGAAGGAGCGAUUCCAAUACCAUAUGGAAGCUCUGAUGGGUCUUACGGAGAAUAUGGAUUGGGACAGAACCAACAUGGACUUGGAACUAUCUCCGACAAUCAAGGAGUUGGUGGACAAUCUGAAGGAACUUUCGACCGACAAAGAGUUGAUCUCGGAGAGUACUUACGAAAAGCAAUUGAGCAAUCUACUCGCAACAGCAUCUACUUCUCUGGUGUCCGAAGACUUGACGAGUAUGAGUCAUAUCGUGAUGCAUUUGAAAGCUUUAAAGAAGGAGGGAAAAAUAGUGUAUUUAAAUUCCUCAUCAAACACGGAGACCACUUACACUUCGUCCACGACUGCCCAUUCUCUAACAGGAGUUGCAGGUGUUUCAAGUUCCUUAAUGUUAGACGAGGACAUGGUAACAAUGUUUCAAUCAAAAAAUUGCAAAGAUCAGAUAUUGAAUCUAUCAUCAAGUAUCACUUUGAAAAUGGACGGGAAGCCUUGUACGUUCAAAUUGCCGGUAAGGAAUACACCAAGUUAUUUAGUGGAUUGCAAAGUAUACGACAUGACGACGAUUCCGCCGAAUGUAGUGGAAAGUCAGGAAAUGUGGAAGUAUGCACUGGUGAGAACAAAAUUCUACGGAAACGGAGUAUUGAAUUCAGCAAUUCAACAGAAAACAAUGAGUCUGCUGAAGGAUAUAACAACAACAAUAAAGGCAGAGGAAGCAGGGCCACCAAAAGCCAAGCGCGUCAAGAACAAAUAGAGCAAAAAAUACUAGAAAUUUUAACUGUUCCUCUGAUAGACUUUCACAAAACAAAUGCAUGGUUGGAAUCGAAUUUCAGAUUUAUGAAUCCAAAUAGUAACGAAUACAGACAGGCUAUACAAUAUGCGAAACUACAGUUUGUAAAUAAGCGGAUUCGAGAUUAUAAAUUUUUUUACAAUUCGAAAAUAACACAGCCGCAUUGGGAGAGCUUAUCACCAGACGAAUUCUCGACUAGGUACUUAUCGCGUAAAGACUCUUUGUCAUACAUGAAAUACUUGCUUAUAAACCACUAUCAUCCAAGCUCUAUCAACUACAACGACAAAACAAGUGAAAUUUUUAUACUUGACAACCAAUGGGAGGUGAAUGUUUAUGGUUAUGUACGCAACCUUAUUUCCUUUCUAGAUAGGCAACGCGAUAAGAGGAAUACAGACUGUUAUAUUUCUCCUCCAAAUGCUGGAAAAACUUUGUUUUUUGAUUGCGUACGUGACUUUUUUAUAAACACUGGAACAAUGUCUCACUGGAAUCGAAGCAAUUCCUUUCCAUUGCAAAUGUGUGGUGAUGUACGCUUAAUAUUUUGGAAUGAACCUAACUACGAAGCAAGUGUUGAACGUACAUUGUUGCGAUUACUUGGUGGUGAUGCACUGAAUGCAGCACAGAAAAAUCAAAACGAUACUAAUAUUUCUAAAGUUCCAGUUAUUGUAACAGCUAAUCACAAUCCAUUUCCCAAAAGCGACGAAUUUAAAGUUAGAAUUCAAUAUCAUUUUUGGCGUACAUGCUCUUUAUUAAAAAAUAUAAGUGGAAAAAAGUUCCAUCCACUCGCUUUUUUGGAUUUGAUUACUGAAACUGAAAAUUAUUACGAGUUAGAUUUACUAAACUACAUGGAAAAGUACGACGAUACUGACCAUGCAUCUGAACAAUAAAUAUGUACUUGUAUACACACAUAUAUAAAUAAAGGUGAUUGGGAAAAAUACUCAGUAUUGUUUUGACUUUCAAUAUGAAUGCUUGGAUUCCAAAGUAUAAGUAUUUAGGUGCUGGAAAUAAACUGCACAAUGGAAAACCGUAUAACAGAACCGACGCAAUUGCCGAGCAGCACGAUUGGGCAUACGAGCGUGCCCGAACGCCAAACGAUAUAUAUAAGGCAGACGCUGAGGCCAUCAACCAGUUCUCUGAAGAAUUUCAACGAAGUCGCACGCUUGGAGCUUUAGCCGGUGAAGUAGGUCUCUCUAUAAAAAGUACAGUCGACAAGUUAGCUGGCAAACCAGUUUAUCCAGAUUUACCAGAUAAUUCUAAAGUAAACAAUACAACAACCGAAUCUUCUAUGGUAGGACAAGAUGAAGACCUGGAUCCUGUGGCUAAUAGUAGCAACGCUGAUGGGACUGUUGGCAGCAGAAACGUCCGUUCUACUGGAGAUACAAAAGUUGUACCCACAAUUGUCAGAAGAAGAUGUAAAUAAAAUAUUAAAUAUAAAUCACGUAAAUAAAAGACAAGUUAUCACACCAAGCGAGAAAAA